GACGAACGCUGGCGGCGUGCUUAACACAUGCAAGUCGAACGGAAAGGCCUCUUUCGGGGUGUACACGAGAGGCGAACGGGUGUGUAACACGUGAGUAACCUGCCCCUGACUCUGGGAUAACUUCAGGAAACUGGGGCUAAUACCGGAGAGGGGCUCAUGCUGCAUGGUGGGGGUUGGAAAGUUUUGGGGGGUGGGGUGGGACUCGCGGCUUAUCAGUUUGUUGGUGGGGUAUUGGCUUACCAAGGCUUGGACGGGUAGCCGGCCUGGGAGGGUGACCGGCCACAUUGGGACUGGGUAACGGCCCGGAAUCCAAGGGGAGGCGGAAGUGGGGAAUAUUGCACAAUGGGUGGAGGCCUGAUCCGGCAACGCCGUGUGCGGGAUGACGGCCUUCGGGUUGUAAACCGCUUUCGCUCAUGACAAAGCUUUGUGUGACGGUAGUGGGUGAAGAAGCACCGGCUAACUACGUG
rnacentral:rRNA from 1 species